ACUCAAAUGAAUAGACGGGGACCCGCACAAGCAGCGGAGCGUGUGGUUUAAUUCGAUGCAACGCGAAGAACCUUACCAGGGCUUGACAUGCUCUCGCACCGGUCAGAGAUGGCCGUGCCCGCAAGGGACGGGAGCACAGGUGCUGCAUGGCUGUCGUCAGCUCGUGCCGUGAGGUGUUGGGUUAAGUCCCCUAACGAGCGCAACCCCUAUCGUUGGUUGUAUUUCUCCAGCGAAACUGCCCGUCAGGGAGGAAGGAGGGGAUGACGUCAAGUCAGCACGGCCCUUACGUCCUGGGCGACACACACGCUACAAUGGCCGACACAACGGGCUGCAAAGCGGCAACGCGGAGCCAAUCCCAUCAAAGUCGGCCCCAGUUCAGAUCGGUGGCUGCAACCCGCCGCCGUGAAGUCGGAGUUGCUAGUAAUCGUGGGUCAGCACACCACGAUGAAUACGUUCCCGGGUCUUGUACACACCGCCCGU
rnacentral:rRNA from 1 species